rnacentral:rRNA from 1 species
GAUGAACGCUAGCUACAGGCUUAACACAUGCAAGUCGAGGGGAAACGGCAUUAAGUGCUUGCACUUUUUGGACGUCGACCGGCGCACGGGUGAGUAACGCGUAUCCAACCUGCCCCUUACCAGGGAAUAACCCGUUGAAAGACGGACUAAUGCCCUAUGCAGUCCUUUGACGGCAUCAGAUUAGGACUAAAGAUUCAUCGGUAUGGGAUGGGGAUGCGUCUGAUUAGCUUGUUGGCGGGGUAACGGCCCACCAAGGCAUCGAUCAGUAGGGGUUCUGAGAGGAAGGUCCCCCACAUAGGAACUGAGACACGGUCCUAACUCCUACGGGAGGCAGCAGUGAGGAAUAUUGGUCAAUGGGCGCUAGCCUGAACCAGCCAAGUAGCGUGCAGGACGACGGCCCUAUGGGUUGUAAACUGCUUUUAUGCGGGGAUAAAGUCACCCACGUGUGGGUGUUUGCAGGUACCGCAUGAAUAAGAACCGGCUAAUUCCGUG